rnacentral:rRNA from 1 species
UAUAAAUAGAAUACAGUGAAACUGCGAAUGGCUCAUUAAAACAGUUAUGGUUUAUUUGAUAAUUGAAGUCUACAUGGAUAACCGUGGUAAUUCUAGAGCUAAUACAUGCAUCAAGACCCGACGCAAGAAGGGUUGUAUUUAUUAGAUAUUAAGCCAAUAUUCCGCAAGGUCUAUUGUGGUGAAUCAUAGUAACUGAUCGAAUCCCCCGCAAUUGAACGGGGGAUAAAUCAUUCAAGUUUCUGCCCUAUCAGCUUUCGAUGGUAGUGUAUUGGACUACCAUGGCGGUGACGGGUAACGGAGAAUUAGGGUUCGAUUCCGGAGAGGGAGCCUGAGAAACGGCUACCACAUCUAAGGAAGGCAGCAGGCACGUAAAUUACCCAAUGCAGACCCUGCGAGGUAGUGACAAUACAUAACAACCUGGGGUCUCACGACUUACGGGAUUGCAAUGAGAACAAUUUAAAAACCUUAACGAGGAACAAGUGGAGGGCAAGUCUGGUGCCAGCAGCCGCGGUAAUUCCAGCUCCACUAGCGUAUAUUAAAGUUGUUGCAGUUAAAAAGCUCGUAGUUGAACUUCUGAUUGUUGCUAGUGUCGGUAUUUAUAUCGCACUCCCUUGGGCGACAGUCAUCCGUCUGCAAACUUUUACAUCCUUAACUGGUUUGUCUAAGGGAGCAGGCAUUUUACUUUGAAAAAAUUAGAGUGUUUAAGGCAGGCCACAAGCCUGAAUACAUUAGCAUGGAAUAAUGGAAUAGGACGCUUGUUCAUUUGUGAUUGGUUAUUGGACUCGCGUAAUGAUUAAUAGGGACAGUUGGGGGCAUUAGUAUUUAAUUGUCAGAGGUGAAAUUCUUGGAUUUAUUAAAGACUAACUUAUGCGAAAGCAUUUGCCAAGGAUGUUUUCAUUAAUCAAGAACGAAAGUUAGG